UUUACAGCCUGCUUUGUUUGACAAGUGUCUCGUGUGUGUUUGUUUUGUUAUUGCAGUUUCACAAGCUACAAAUGAGGCUACGGACCAAGUCAUGCUGAAACAAGAACAAGGGGAGAACCAGUGCUUGGGUCAGCAAGUUGCCAGUCUGUCAGCUGAGUUUAUGGCUCUGCAGAAAAGGAUGAUUCUAUGAUUGGGGGGUGCAAGACUUUCUUGCCAAGAAAGAAGCACUGAACAAAGUCCAGAAUUACUUCUUCCUGGAAAGUGCAGUCAGGUCACCUAGAGAUGUGCCUGGAGGAAGAACAGGGAGCUGGUGAUGCUGAUCUGCAUUGCAGGGAUGCUGCCUGACCCAGACAUUCAUCCAAGCGAAGCUGAUUUGUGCUCCAGUCAUUUCAGUGCUCAGCCCAGGGAUGGUAUUAAACUGCCAAACUGGACAAUGCCAGAACCACUUCAGCCCUUUGUUUGCUGACUGGAGCAACAUUGCCCAGAGCCUGGGAUGCCUGGAGAAUCCUGGAAGGAAUCUGCUGAGGAGGAUUACCAAAAGUCUGUGUUGAGACCACUUCUACAGUUUCACUGCUACUGGAAAUAUGAAAAUUGGUGAAGUUGAUCCUGGCAGUCACUUUGGAAAGACCCUGAACUGUUCCCCUGAAGCAGAGAAAAGCAUUGGGAAUUAUCUCUUGAACCCGGACGUCCAAGUGGCUGCUGUGGCUUGGUACACCCCUCUCUACUGCAACAGAAGACAAGGAUGGGUGUUGAAAGAGGAAAGAAACAAUUUGAGAACGUUGUCUUACAACUUUCUCAACAACAGAGCAAAAAGAGGGAUGGCAAAAUGAGCAGGAAUUUUCAUCAAGUGAUGCAGAGUGGAAGAGGCUGACCCAUGACAAGCACAAGAAAAGACAAAUCUUCAUUAAAAGGCGUGUGUGACAUUCAAUAUGUGCACUCUGCAAUUGCAGCAUUAUGCCAGACUGGCUCUGUGAGUGAAUGUUUUUAAAUUAAUGUCUUGGUAAGCAAUUCUAGAGCAGCUCUGCAUUUUGAAAAUACAAAUUAACCUUAAGCUUCAAGCAGGAAUACAGCCCAAAUCUCCUUAUAGGGCUGCACUCACUGUCAGUCAAGACUAAGUGGAAAGUAAAAUCCAAGUAAAAUUCUUCUUCAAAUGUGACUUUAUUGUUACAUAUUAUCCUCUCAGCCCCAUUCAGAGAUCACAAUUGGGAAAGCCAAGAUUUGAGCCAGAUUCACAAAAGUGAAAGAUCUUUCUAAAAAAUAAAGGGUUGGCCAAUCUGGAUAUACUUUCACAAAAAAAAAAAAAAAAAAAAAAAAAAAAAAAAAAAAAAAAAAGGUGGCUGCCUUUGGGGGAAUUGCUCUUCUCUGAAUUUCUUCUCCUGAUUGUGGCUGGAGAUGUUCAUAGGAUGAACAAUUUUCAGUAUAGGUUACACUGGCUGUUUUUCCCAAGUUUUUCUCAAAAAAUGGCCAAAUCACUCUCACUCAAACUCUCCAAAGAAAGUAACUCAGAAGCAGGGCAAAAUUAUGUAAAAAUUCAGUGCAAAGAGUUCAAAACUGGCAGAAUUAUAACCGAAGGUAAAUGGUAAAUUAUUAUGUAAUAUGUCAAGCAAUUUGAAGUUGCAGUUCUACCUACAACUAAAUGCAGAAUGUGUCAAAUAUAUGUGUGCUCUUUGUUAGAUAUAUUGCAUAAAUUUAAUGUACGUGUCCAGGAAGCUCAGUAAAUCUGUGCAAAAGAUAUUAAUAAAUAUGCUAAUGUAAUACAAAAAAUAA